rnacentral:rRNA from 1 species
UACGAAGGGGGCUAGCGUUGUUCGGAUUUACUGGGCGUAAAGCGCACGUAGGCGGUUCGUUAAGUCGGGUGUGAAAUCCUGGAGCUCAACUCCAGAACUGCCUUCGAUACUGGCGACCUAGAGUCCGGAAGAGGUGAGUGGAACUCCUAGUGUAGAGGUGGAAUUCGUAGAUAUUAGGAAGAACACCAGUGGCGAAGGCGGCUCACUGGUCCGGUACUGACGCUGAGGUGCGAAAGCGUGGGGAGCAAACAGG